rnacentral:rRNA from 1 species
AUUGAACGCUGGCGGCAGGCCUAACACAUGCAAGUCGAACGGUAACAGGAAGCAGCUUGCUGCUUCGCUGACGAGUGGCGGACGGGUGAGUAAUGUCUGGGAAACUGCCUGAUGGAGGGGGAUAACUACUGGAAGCGGUAGCUAAUACCGCAUAACGUCGCAAGACCAAAGAGGGGGACCUUAGGGCCUCUUGCCAUCGGAUGUGCCCCGAUGGGAUUAGCUAGUAGGUGGGGUAACGGCUCACCUAGGCGACGAUCCCCAGCUGGUCUGAGAGGAUGACCAGCCACACUGGAACUGAGACACGGUCCAGACUCCUACGGGAGGCAGCAGUGGGGAAUAUUGCACAAUGGGCGCAAGCCUGAUGCAGCCAUGCCGCGUGGAUGAAGAAGGCCUUCGGGUUGUAAAGCCCUUUCAGCGGGGAGGAAGGGAGUAAAGUUAAUACCUUUGCUCAUUGACGUUACCCGCAGAAGAAGCACCGGCUAACUCCGUG